rnacentral:rRNA from 1 species
UACGGAGGGUGCAAGCGUUAUCCGGAUUCACUGGGUUAAAGGGUGCGUAGGAGGGCAGGUAAGUCAGUGGUGAAAUCUCCAAGCUUAACUUGGAAACUGCCGUUGAUACUAUCUGUCUUGAAUACCGUGGAGGUGAGCGGAAUAUGUCAUGUAGCGGAUGGAAAUGCUUAGAUAUGACAUAGAACACCAAAUUGCGAAGGCAGCUCGCUACACGAAUAUUG